rnacentral:misc_RNA from 1 species
AACCCAAAGAAACAGGAACACUGGGCAAUUUCUGUUCAGGCUGAAUCCUCCACUCCUUGCAGACAGUAUUUCAUUGUGCAAGAAUACAUACGAAAAAUAUUUCCACUUCCUAUUCCAACUUGCAGAGUAAAACAGAAGGAGUUGAGAAGCUAACCAAACGAAAAGCAAGAGUGCAAUUGCAAUCUGACUGCUGUCCAUAACCCACGUAUUUAAUACCCAAGU